rnacentral:rRNA from 1 species
GACGAACGCUGGCGGCGUGCCUAAUACAUGCAAGUCGAACGCAGUGGGGACGGGUGAGUAACACGUGGGUAACCUCCCAUCAGAGGGGAUAACACUUGGAAACAGGUGCUAAACCGAUACUGAUGGAUGGACCCGGGGUGCAUUAGCUAGUUGGUGAGGUAACGGCUCACCAAGGCCACGAUGCGUAGCUGGCCUGAGAGGGUGAUCGGCCACACUGGAACUGAGACACGGCCCAGACUCCUACGGGAGGCAGCAGUGGGGAAUAUUCGGCAAUGGGCGAAAGUCUGACCGAGCAACGCCGCGUGUGUGAAGAAGGUCUUCGGAUCGUAAAGCACUGUUGGUAGAGAAGCGUUAUCUAACGAGAAAGCCACGGCUAACUUCGUGCCAGCAGCCGCGGUAAUAC